GCAGUGGUGGUACAGUGGUAGAAUUCUUGCCUUCUAUGUAGGAGACAUGGGAUUGAUUUCCAGCCAGUGCA
rnacentral:tRNA from 1 species